CCUACGGGAGGCAGCAGUCGAGAAUCAUUCACAAUGGGGGAAACCCUGAUGGUGCGACGCCGCGUGGGGGAAUGAAGGUCUUCGGAUUGUAAACCCCUGUCAUGUGGGAGCAAAUUAAAAAGAUAGUACCACAAGAGGAAGAGACGGCUAACUCUGUGCCAGCAGCCGCGGUAAUACAGAGGUCUCAAGCGUUGUUCGGAAUCACUGGGCGUAAAGCGUGCGUAGGCUGUUUCGUAAGUCGUGUGUGAAAGGCGCGGGCUCAACCCGCGGAUGGCACAUGAUACUGCGAGACUAGAGUAAUGGAGGGGGAACCGGAAUUCUCGGUGUAGCAGUGAAAUGCGGAGAUAUCGAGAGGAACACUCGUGGCGAAGGCGGGUUCCUGGACAUUAACUGACGCUGAGGCACGAAGGCCAGGGGAGCGAAAGGGAUUAGAUACCCGGGUAGUC
rnacentral:rRNA from 1 species